UACGGAGGGUGCAAGCGUUGUUCGGAAUCAUUGGGCGUAAAGCGCGCGCAGGCGGCGGGCCAAGUCUAUGGGUGAAAUGCCGGAGCUCAACUCCGUGCCCGCCCAAGAUACUGGUCGGCUAGAGACACGUAGAGGCAAGCGGAAUUCCGGGUGUAGCGGUGGAAUGCGUAGAGAUCCGGAAGAACACCGGAGGCGAAGGCGGCUUGCUGGGCGUGAUCUGACGCUGAGGCGCGAAAGCGUGGGGAGCGAACAGG
rnacentral:rRNA from 2 species